UACGGAGGGGGCUAGCGUUGUUCGGAAUCACUGGGCGUAAAGCGCACGUAGGCGGCUUUGCAAGUUAGAUGUGAAAGCCCGGGGCUCAACUCCGGAAUUGCCUUUAAAACUGCAUCGCUAGAAUUGUGGAGAGGUAAGUGGAAUUCCGAGUGUAGAGGUGAAAUUCGUAGAUAUUCGGAAGAACACCAGUGGCGAAGGCGACUUGCUGGACACAUAUUGACGCUGAGGUGCGAAAGCGUGGGGAGCAAACAGG
rnacentral:rRNA from 1 species